rnacentral:rRNA from 1 species
UACGUAGGGAGCAAGCGUUGUCCGGAAUCAUUGGGCGUAAAGCGCGCGUAGGCGGCCUCAUAAGUCCGUUGUGAAAGUCAAAGGCUCAACCUUUGAAAGCCGAUGGAUACUGUGAGGCUAGAGUCCGGAAGAGGCGAGUGGAAUUCCUGGUGUAGCGGUGGAAUGCGCAGAUAUCGGGAGGAACACCGGUGGCGAAGGCGGCCUUCUGGACGGAUACUGACGCUGAUACGCGAAAGCGUGGGGAGCAAACAGG